rnacentral:rRNA from 14 species
UCCCGGGCCUUGUACACACCGCCCGUCACACCAUGGGAGUUGGUUCUACCCGACGACGCUGCGCUAACCCUUCGGGGAGGCAGGCGGCCACGGUAGGAUCAGCGACUGGGGUGAAGUCGUAACAAGGUAGCCGUAGGGGAACCUGCGGCUGGAUCACCUCCUU